rnacentral:rRNA from 1 species
AUACGUAGGUGGCGAGCGUUGUCCGGAUUUACUGGGUGUAAAGGGCGCGUAGGCGGGAUAGCAAGUCAGGUGUGAAAUCUAUGGGCUCAACCCAUAAACUGCACUUGAAACUGUUGUUCUUGAGUGUCGGAGAGGUAGAUGGAAUUCCUAGUGUAGCGGUGAAAUGCGUAGAUAUUAGGAGGAACACCGGUGGCGAAGGCGGGUCUCUGGGCAGUAACUGACGCUGAGGAGCGAAAGCAUGGGUAGCGAACAGGAUUAGAUACCCUGGUAGUCCACGCAGUAAACGAUGAUGACUAACUGCCGGCCCGUUGCGGGUCGGUGGCCAAGCGAAAGCGAUAAGUCAUCCACCUGGGGAGUACGACCGCAAGAUUGAAACUCAAAUGAAUUGGCGGGG